GCCUACGACCUGCUCUCUGCCCUGGGAUCACCUCCUGCUACUUCCUGUCUGACAGAGACAGAAGAAAAGAGAGAAGGACAGAACAGAGGAGGACAAGAACAGAGUGAGAGUCAUGUUGAUGUGACUCCACAGUGCAGUGAGGUAGCUCUCCUGAAGAGGAAGCUGUCCUUCACACAACAUCAGCUGGAAUCCCUGAAGAAAAGGCUUGUCGAGGCGCUGAAAGAAAACUACAACUUGAGACUAACCAGCCUGAAGCAGGACUCCUCUACCACUGCAGAGACCAACUGUGGCAGGCAUUGGGACAGGUGUCUACAGAGACAGGUGCUAGUUCUGAGAGAGCAGGAGACACACCUGAGACAACUGGAGCAGACCAUUGUGCUUCUACAGGGCAAGCACAGGUCUUUGGUGUCCAAUAAUAACUCUCUGUUGGGACAUCUAAAUGAACACAUAACAGAACAAACAGAGUCCAGGGUCCAGAGAAUCCAGCCAGCAGACUAAUCUAAUGAGUUCAACAUUGAACAUCAAUUCAAGCCUUUGCCAAGAUUGUACUGCGUUCUAAUGAAUAGAGCCUACUCUGUAAACUGUGUAGGCUAUGUUUGGCAUACUGUGAAAUGACAUUGUAUUUGUAAUAGACCUGCUUUUUAUAUGCACUCAAAUGUAUUUAUCAAAACAAUUAAAAAUAAAUUAAAA